AUUGAACGCUGGCGGCGUGCUUAACACAUGCAAGUCGAUCGGUAACGCGGGGGCAACCCUGGCGACGAGAGGCGGACGGGUGAGGAACGCUUGGGAAUCUGCCCUUCAGCGGGGGACAACCCGGGGAAACCCGGGCUAAUACCGCAUACGCUCUACGGAGGAAGGCCGGGGACCGCAAGGCCUGGCACUGAUGGAUGAGCCCAAAUCGGAUUAGCUAGUUGGCGGGGUAACGGCCCACCAAGGCGACGAUCCGUAGCUGGUCUGAGAGGACGAUCAGCCACACCGGAACUGAGACACGGUCCGGACUCCUACGGGAGGCAGCAGUGGGGAAUAUUGGACAAUGGGGGAAACCCUGAUCCAGCGACGCCGCGUGGGUGAAGAAGGCCUGCGGGUUGUAAAGCCCUUUCGGUAGGGACGAAAGCUCUUGCUCCAACAAAGCAGGAGGUUGACUUAACCUACAUAAGAAGCACCGGCUAACUCUGUGCCAGCCGCCGCAGUAACAC
rnacentral:rRNA from 1 species